AUCUAUUUUUAAUCUUCCCUCGUGGAACUUGUGCACACUGUUUUUGGCAACACUUACAAGCUGCAUGUUGAGGUCCAGACAAGUCCAAGAGCUGGACAAUUUUUUUUCUUAACGGAUCUGAUCAUUAGAUAGUUUUUAGUAUCAAAUUUCAGAAAAGGCUUUUUGUGUGGCCUUUGAAGUUACUUUAGUAUAAUGCAUCUCUCUGUGGAGAGAUGGGACUGCAAUAGAAAAUGUCAUAUUCCCCCCCAUAUUUUGGAGGAAGAAAAAAAAUCAUUUUUCCUCAAUAAUUUGAUUUUUGAGACAGUUCUAUGGGUAAUAGGUUCAGUUAUCAUUUAGUUUUGUUUUUAGAAGUUUUAUUAAAGAUAUGCAAAAUUUUCCUACUUCUUGUUGUUUUUGGAGUAAGUUGACAUAGCACCUAGGAAAUGAAGCCAUAUGUGAUAUGGCUCAAUGAGCAGACUGUCUGCCUUUGUAAAUAAUUGACGGCACUGUUAAUAAAUAGGGAAAUGUUUUUCUUAGAUUUCCAUCCACAUUUUGUAGCCACCAUAACAAAUAGAGUAUUUCAGAAUAGCCCUUUGUCCUUACUUUUUUCUGAAUGUAUGUUUCAUCUCCAUUGAUUUAAUCUUAUUGGAAAGUUUAGUAAAAUUAGACGGAAAAUACUUUAAUGAUCCACUGUGUUUCAGAUGUAUACGUGUUAACUGGAUUCACUAUUUGGCCAAGAUGGUCACAAGUACAUUUUGAAAUACUCUGUUCAGUCCUCCACUUAGAUUUCUGGCUUGUCCUGGGAAACAUUUGAGAGGAUGUCAUCUUAGUUACUUACCUGUAUAUAACUGCACUCCUAAUAAAACCAAAUGAAUGAGUGCUGGAAUGCUUCUUUAUGUUUGCCUGUGGGUAGAAAGGUAAGUCAGGGCACCUCAGGCUCUGACUCUUCCCAGAAACUGAACUAAGGCAAGGUCAUCACAUUACGAUGGGCAUUAUGUACUUGGGGGAGGUCGUGGGGAUGGAUGAGUCUUGAAGUUGAAGGUUCUACAAGUUGAUGGUUCUACUGACAAUCGAAACCACGCUGUCCAUCUUCUGCAUUCUCUUUGCUUUGAGAUUGGGUAACAGGGUGGAGGGAAGCUGUAAGAGCUCUCAAGGAAAGAGAGAAGUUAACCCUUCGGAUAGAAGGACUGAUGUAGACGCAUACUACUGUCCUUGCUUCAGUCUGGGAUGGGAGUGGAUCCAUCAGUUCAGGCAGGGUAAUGGGCUUUGAAAAGCAUUGGAAAAGGAGGAGAGUAUGGUUUAAAAGGCCAUAACAACAACAAAAAAAAAUUAAA